AAAAGAUCAUGCAGCUGUUUGAAAAGUGAUCGUAUUGAUGUAUUUUUUAUCAUAUUUCGCACAGACAAGUGCUUAAAUGCUGCUUGUUUUUCUAUGCAUAACGGGUCAUUUUGUUGCGUUUCUGGAGUGGCUAUAAAAAAGUUGACUUAUUGGUCAUUUAUAAAAAGUGCGUGGAAGCGUCAACAGCAAAAGUGUUAAAUAUUAAAAAGUGAUAAAAAAAAUAUUAAAAAGUGUACGUUUAUCUAUUUGUUUGUUUAUUUAUUUAUUGUUUUAAUAAAGAAAAAAUGUCAGCAAGCCAAUUUAAAAAAAUAGAAAAGGCUAAAAUAAAAAGGAUGGCAAAAAAUGAAUUGGUGCAGCAAAAUGAAACGAUACUUAAACAAUUUAAAGAAUUUAUUGCAAAAACCGGCGGUGAAGGACCCCCUCAAUUCCUUCGGGCUGCCGUUCGAAAGAUUUUUUCUGACAAUUUAGCCUGCCAAUACAGCUGGAAGGGCACCAGUGUAAAGCCAAGUGCAGAAAAGUGUUAUUUAGUGACAGUAAUCAAAAAUAUUUGUCAUCUAAAAUACACAAGUAACGACAAGGAUAUGAACACAAUCCUUCAGAAACAUUUUGUUCACGCUCGAGACCGGGUUACAAAAAGAAAACGAUCAGAUUGAAGUUCCUGAUUUUUUUAUUUUUUUGUUUUUUCUUUUUUUAUUUAAUUUUUUACUAUAUUUUUUACCACUGGCAUUUACUAAAUAA